rnacentral:rRNA from 1 species
UACGAAGGGGGCUAGCGUUGCUCGGAAUUACUGGGCGUAAAGGGAGCGUAGGCGGGUCGUCAAGUUGGGGGUGAAAGCUUAGGGCUCAACCCUGGAACUGCCUUCAAAACUGGCGACCUAGAGUAUGGUAGAGGUGUGUGGAACUCCGAGUGUAGAGGUGAAAUUCGUAGAUAUUCGGAAGAACACCAGUGGCGAAGGCGACACACUGGGCCAUUACUGACGCUGAGGCUCGAAAGCGUGGGGAGCAAACAGG